rnacentral:rRNA from 1 species
AAUGAACGCUGGCGGCGUGCCUAACACAUGCAAGUCGUACGAGAAAUCCCGAGCUUGCUUGGGAGAGUAAAGUGGCGCACGGGUGAGUAACGCGUGGGCAACCUGCCCUUGAAUCGGGGAUAACUCCGCGAAAGCGGUGCUAAUACCGGAUAAGACCACUACCGCUUCGGCGGCAGAGGUAAAAGCUGACCUCUCCAUGGAAGUUAGCGUUUGAGGACGGGCCCGCGUCCUAUCAGCUUGUUGGUAGGGUAACGGCCUACCAAGGCAACGACGGGUAGCUGGUCUGAGAGGAUGAUCAGCCACACUGGAACUGGAACACGGUCCAGACUCCUACGGGAGGCAGCAGUGAGGUAAUUUUGCGCAAGUCGGGGGAAACCCUGACGCAGCAACGCCGCGUGGGUGAAGAAGGCUUUCGGGUCGUAAAGCCCUGUCAGGUGGGAAGAACCGUUUCGAUACUAAUAAUGUCGAAGCCUGACGGUACCACCAGAGGAAGCACCGGCCAACUCCGUG